rnacentral:tRNA from 2 species
GACUCCGUGGCGCAACGGCAGCGCGUCUGACUCCAGAUCAGAAGGCUGUGUGUUCAAAUCACACCGGGGUCA